GACGAACGCUGGCGGCGUGCCUAAUACAUGCAAGUCGAACGCAGUGGGGACGGGUGAGUAACACGUGGGUAACCUCCCAUCAGAGGGGAUAACACUUGGAAACAGGUGCUAAACCGAUACUGAUGGAUGGACCCGCGGUGCAUUAGCUAGUUGGUGAGGUAACGGCUCACCAAGGCCACGAUGCAUAGCCGCGCGGAGAGGGUGAUCAGCCAAACUGGGUCUGAGACACGGACCAGACUCAUGCGGGAGGCAGCAGUAGGGAAGCUUCGGCAAUGGACGAAAGCCUGAGCGAGCAAGGCCGCGUGAGGGAAGAAGGUUGUCGGACGGUAAACCUCGGUGGUUAGAGAAGCGGGAACGAACCAGAAAGCCACGGCUAACUACGUGCCAGCAGCCGCGGUAAUAG
rnacentral:rRNA from 1 species